UUGUAAUUUUAUUGGAUGAGAAAACCAUCUAUUACCACUUUGAAAUGCACCUUCUUCCGGCCACGCCUCCUCUUACUUACCAGAGCUUCUAUUUCUCGCGAGAGUUCGGCGGAUCGCGCUCCUCCCACGAGAAUUUGUGGGAGUCGUUGCUGGGGCUCCUCGCGAGCUCGCCCACAGGAAACCAGGCCCGGAUUCGCCCCAUAAAUGGAGGCUCUGAGUAGGCGUGUCGGUACCCGACUCUUCCUCUCACGGAUCCCGUCAUCCCGAGUCCGGGGGCUCACCCGUACAUUUGGGAGGCCUGCCUGGAGGAAGCUUGAGGACUAGACGGAAGAGAACGUCCAGUGUGUUAGCGCCGGGGGAGCGUAGAGCUGUGCUUGCCCAGGAGACUGCGGGUUAGCCGCCCAAUGUGUCAGGGGCGAGGAAGGCGCGACUCAGGCGAGAACACAACCCCCACGAGAACACAAUGGCUAACUAAGAAGAAGACGCCUCGGGCGAGGCCCGGGCGCGGAAUUGGGUCUCAGGACGUCUCCUGUUACAGAAUCUCCUACCUGACUCUCAAAGCCAGUGUAAUGAUUUUAGGCACGUGUCACACACGCACACCUGCUACAGGUUAUCCACUUUACCUACCCCUGUGAAAAAAUGUGAGUGCUAACGGUAAUGCAAGCCCAUGCUAGGGCCUGGUGGAGAGCAGCAAGAGAGAAUGCUACUGGAAAAACAGUGCUGCUUUUCUCCAGCACCUGGCCCUGGGCUAGGCUGAGGGUUUAGCAACUGGAAAAUGAUUAUAGAUAAAUAGCAACUUGAAGGAAAUGGAUACCCGGGCUGUGGUGGCGCAUGCCUUUAAUCCCAGCACUUGGGAGGCAGAGGCCUUGAUUUCUGAGAUUUCUGAGUUCAAGGCCAGCCUGGUCUCCUGAGUUCCAGGACAGCCAAGGCUACACAGAGAAACGCUUGUCUCGAAAAACCCAAAAAAAAAAAAAAAAAAAAAGAAAGAAAGAAAAAUAAA